rnacentral:lncRNA from 1 species
CCGAGAGGCUCGAUUGAAGGGAAAGAAAGGCUCCGCGCCGGAGUGGAUGAUUUCUGGGCUCCAAAGGGCCACAGUUAGCCCAGAACUUCCAGCCCCGAUCUGGGAAAAGAACAUUUGAUGCCAUCAAAGGGCUGCAGAUUGAAACCAGAUGUGCUCGCCUCGCUCUUUCCAUGCAUUCAAUUAAGGAGCCAGGACGAGGAGGCUUUUUCACCAAUGCCCUUCGCGACAAGGGUCUGGCCCCUGGCACCCGUUUGCCCUGAAGACCAGGGAGCCCCGUCAGUGGGGGAGGAAGUGGCCUUGUCCCUGCAGUCAGCACGGUUGGCGACGACGCGGGACCGUGACGGGGUGGGCACAGAUUAUGAAUUAUCAUUUUUAAAAGUCAGGACGACACUACAGGGAAACUCAGGACAAGACAGAGAGCAGCGCAUUUACUCCAGAAAGGACAGAAGGGCUGAAGGAGGCCUUCACAGCACGCUGGGAGCCAGCACUGCCACCAGUGUACUGGCUUUCGACUGGCAUCUGAAGGUAGCUUUCCAACCAUUCGUUCUGCCUACUCCCUUUUUAAAAAUCUCCCAUUUGGGGAUUCCUCCCCAAGAAAGUAGAAGCAAAGCUGGGACCAACAAGGAAAGUUGCCAAGAGAUGAGACCAAGGCUGGGAGGCCCAGCGCAUGAAGUUGGGUGCUGUUUUCAUUUCACUGGGCCUAUUUGCUCCUUAAAUCCCUGGAGACUGCAUGAACCAUUGAAACAGCUUUAGCUAAAGAUACAGUGACCUGCACACUGACUCGCAAUAAAUGCUCCUCAGACCUUAUUCUGCUAAAUGUCUCUGUAUAACUGAUAAUACCUGUAAUGAUCACUCUCUUUGAAAUUUCUUCUCCUAUUAACUGACCAGUUCCUUUCUGUCUUCAUUGAGGAUUUCUUUCUCUCAACUGAUGAUAUUCUCCAGGGUUCUGUCUACCAUCCUCAUUGUCCUUCAGAAUAAAUAGGUUGUUUUUAGAAGAGCUCAUAUAUAUACAUGGGUAAACGACUGCUUGUUUAUCAAUGAGUCUAAAACCUAAAUCUUAAGCUUGGUCA